UGCCGGCGCUUUAGAACCGUGGCGCGUUGUUUCUCUCGCGCGGAGGUUCAAACGAAGAAUCAACUCGUGGAGGAAGUUGCGGGUGUUGGGAAAGGGUUCGUUCGGAGAUGCCUAUGAUGUCAUCACUGAUGAUGGAUCCUACUUCGCUGUAAAGGAGAUUUCUUUGUCAGAUCAUACCAAUCAUAGCUUAGUGCAGUUUGAGCAGGACAUUUCUCUUUUAAGUCAGUUGGAACAUGAGAACAUAGUUCAAUGUAUCGGCACAGACAAGG